GCGGCGUGCCUAACACAUGCAAGUCGAGCGAGGACUUCGGUCCUAGCGGCGGACGGGUGAGUAACGCGUGGGUAAUCUGCCUCAUACACACGGAUAACGUACCGAAAGGUACGCUAAUACGAGAUAAUAUUAAGAAAUGGCAUCAUUUCUUAAUCAAAGAAUUUCGGUAUGAGAUGAGCCCGCGUCCCAUUAGCUAGUUGGUAAGGUAAAAGCUUACCAAGGCGACGAUGGGUAGCCGACCUGAGAGGGUGAUCGGCCACAUUGGAACUGAGACACGGUCCAGACUCCUACGGGAGGCAGCAGUGGGGAAUAUUGCACAAUGGGCGAAAGCCUGAUGCAGCAACGCCGCGUGAGCGAUGAAGGUCUUCGGAUCGUAAAGCUCUGUCCUCAAGGAAGAAUUUUGACGGUACUUGAGGAGGAAGCCCCGGCUAACUACGUGCCAGCAGCCGCGGUAAUACGUAGGGGGCUAGCGUUAUCCGGAAUUAUUGGGCGUAAAGGGUGCGUAGGCGGUCCUACAAGUCAGAGGUGAAAGGCUACGGCUCAACCGUAGUAAGCCUUUGAAACUGUAGGACUUGAGUGCAGGAGAGGAGAGUGGAAUUCCCAGUGUAGCGGUGAAAUGCGUAGAUAUUGGGAGGAACACCAGUUGCGAAGGCGGCUCUCUGGACUGUAACUGACGCUGAGGCACGAAAGCGUGGGGAGCGAACAGGAUUAGAUACCCUGGUAGUCCACGCCGUAAACGAUGAGUACUAGGUGUCGGGGG
rnacentral:rRNA from 1 species